rnacentral:rRNA from 1 species
CCUACGGGGAGCAGCAGUGAGGAAUAUUGGUCAAUGGGCUAAGGCCUGAACCAGCCAAGUCGCGUGAGGGAAGACGGUCCUAUGGAUUGUAAACCUCUUUUGUCGGGGAGCAACGAGGCCACGUGUGGCCGAAGUGAGAGUACCCGAAGAAAAAGCAUCGGCUAACUCCGUGCCAGCAGCCGCGGUAAUACGGGGGAUGCGAGCGUUAGCCGGAUUUAUUGGGUUAAAAGGGUGCGUAGGCGGGUUAUCAAGUCAGUGGUAAAAUCGUGGAGCUCAACUCCAUCCAGCCGUUGAAACUGAUGAUCUUGAGUGGGCGAGAAGGAUGCGGAAUGCGUGGUGUAGCGGUGAAAUGCAUAGAUAUCACGCAGAACUCCGAUGGCGAAGGCAGCAUACCGGCGCCCGACUGACGCUGAAGCACGAAGGCGAGGGUAGCGAACGGGAUUAGAUACCCCGGUAGUC